rnacentral:misc_RNA from 1 species
UUUCCGUAGGUGAACCUGCGGAAGGAUCAUUAUUGUAUAACCGAGGUGCGAGGGCUGUCGCUGACCCGAAAGGUCGUGCACGCCCGAGUGCCCUCACACACAUCCAUCUCACCCCUAUGUGCACCACCGCGUGGGUCCCCCUUUGGCUUGUUCGGAGGGGGGCUUACGUUUUCACACAAACUUUGUAUGCAGUGUAGAAUGUAUUCCUUGUUUUUGCGAUCACGCAAUCAAAACAACUUUCAACAACGGAUCUCUUGGCUCUC